CAGUUAAAGUACCAGAGGAUCUUGGAACGGUUAGAAAAAGAGAACAAGGAAUUAAGAAAAUUAGUGUUGCAGAAAGAUGACAAAGGAAUCCAUCACAGAAAACUCAAGAAAUCUUUGAUUGACAUGUAUUCUGAAGUUCUUGAUGUUCUGUCUGAUUAUGAUGCCAGUUAUAAUACACAAGAUCAUCUGCCAAGGGUUGUUGUGGUUGGAGACCAGAGUGCUGGAAAAACUAGUGUGUUGGAAAUGAUUGCUCAAGCGCGGAUAUUCCCUCGAGGAUCUGGGGAGAUGAUGACACGCUCGCCGGUGAAGGUAGGACAGUAGGCCAACUGGAUGAAGCUCCUCAGGAAGGUAGCUGCUUCAGUGAAGGGUGUUCAUUAUAUUGAAAUGAAGAAUUGUAACUAACAAGAAUUGAUAUGUAGCACUGGGAAUUAGUCCUGUUGUGGAAAUCAGUGGAGGCACAGCCUGGAGACCACGGUGACAGGAGCGGAGUGGGUGAUGGAAGAGAGGUGAGAGAGGAGGACAGAGGCAUGGUGGGGCCGGGCUGCACUGAGCCACUGUUAGGACUCUGGAUUUUAUUUGAAGUGAGGUCAGUGAAAAGCUGAGUCAGAAAAUGAGAAUAUUAGAAGUGGAGUCAGUAAAUGUAGAUAAUUUUCCAGUUUUACUAUAAGAGGCAUAGAGCAAUGGGGCAGUAAUAGUUGAAGUAUGUCGGGUCAAGGGAAAGAAAGAUAUUUACAUACUGAUUGUAAUGAUCUAGUUUGAGAGGUAAAAAUGAUGAUAUAAGAGAGGGGGAACAAUUGAUUGCAAUAGCAGAGUCUUUGAUGUAAAAGGCUGGGACUCAGCAUGCAAUAUACAGAAGUUCUAAUAGUUCAUCUGUAGUCACAAGAAGAAAGUCUAUGGCUUCAGUCUUCAUUCAACAAAUAUUUUUUGAGUGCUUAAUACGUUCCGGCACUAUUGUAGGCAGUGUGUUGGUUAAGCAAAACAAAGAUUCUUGCCAUAAUGGAGAAUACGUUCUAGUAGGGGAAGCAGGCAAUAAAUAAUAAGCAAAAUAAAUGACUGAAUUACAUAAU